CGAAAAGCCGGAGUUACUAUUCACUUUAAGUCAUCGGUCCUGGUCGCGUAACUUCUCCAUUCUAGCUCAUUUUCUUCUGAAACUUAACGAGUGUUUAUGUAAUUAAAUUACUCACAGAAAGAUCGUCAACAGAGAGUUUAGCUGCACUGCCAAAAUCUCAGUCCUUACAUUAUCCCCCCUUAAAAGAAGUUUCGUCCUCGAAACUUGACCACGUACCCACCGUAAUCGAAUUCAGAUAUUACUCCCCCACUACAGUAUCACCCUUGAGUACUGGUCAAUUACAUUUGGAUAGAUCAACCUCCGAAAAAGGGGAAAAAUAGGACUGCGGUUCCACCAGAACAAAUCGAGAGAAAACGUACCAACCCAAAAUCUACGGACCAAAACUCACCGGGAUCAGCACUAUCCUAUAACCUGCGGACAAAGACAGUCCCGCGACCAGGAUUAUCAGAUCCCAAAUUACCAACCCUGAGAUAAAAAUUCUCCACUCAGAAACUCUAGAUCCACUCUACCUUGGUCCGCAUACCAGUAACCGACUCGACUA
rnacentral:lncRNA from 1 species